CGCUUUUUCUUUCACCGGAGCUUGCUCCACCGAAAGAAAAGGAGUGGCGAACGGGUGAGUAACACGUGGGUAACCUGCCCAUCAGAAGGGGAUAACACUUGGAAACAGGUGCUAAUACCGUAUAACAAUCGAAACCGCAUGGUUUCGGUUUGAAAGGCGCUUUUGCGUCACUGAUGGAUGGACCCGCGGUGCAUUAGCUAGUUGGUGAGGUAACGGCUCACCAAGGCAACGAUGCAUAGCCGACCUGAGAGGGUGAUCGGCCACAUUGGGACUGAGACACGGCCCAAACUCCUACGGGAGGCAGCAGUAGGGAAUCUUCGGCAAUGGACGCAAGUCUGACCGAGCAACGCCGCGUGAGUGAAGAAGGUUUUCGGAUCGUAAAACUCUGUUGUUAGAGAAGAACAAGGAUGAGAGUAAAAUGUUCAUCCCUUGACGGUAUCUAACCAGAAAGCCACGGCUAACUACGUGCCAGCAGCCGCGGUAAUACGUAGGUGGCAAGCGUUGUCCGGAUUUAUUGGGCGUAAAGCGAGCGCAGGCGGUUUCUUAAGUCUGAUGUGAAAGCCCCCGGCUCAACCGGGGAGGGUCAUUGGAAACUGGGGAACUUGAGUGCAGAAGAGGAGAGUGGAAUUCCAUGUGUAGCGGUGAAAUGCGUAGAUAUAUGGAGGAACACCAGUGGCGAAGGCGGCUCUCUGGUC
rnacentral:rRNA from 1 species